CCCUAGCCCCGAUUGAAGUGGAAAUCCUUUUUUAUGAUUUUGCUGCGCAGCGGAAAAAUGUAAAAAAGAUUGCAGUGAAAAGCGGGAAAUAGC
rnacentral:sRNA from 1 species